AACGAACGCUGGCGGCAUGCCUAACACAUGCAAGUCGAACGAGACCUUCGGGUCUAGUGGCGCACGGGUGCGUAACGCGUGGGAACCUGCCCUUAGGUUCGGAAUAACUCCCCGAAAGGGGUGCUAAUACCGGAUAAUGUCUUCGGACCAAAGAUUUAUCGCCUUUGGAUGGGCCCGCGUUGGAUUAGCCAGUUGGUAGGGUAAAAGCCUACCAAGGCGACGAUCCAUAGCUGGUCUGAGAGGAUGAUCAGCCACACUGGGACUGAGACACGGCCCAGACUCCUACGGGAGGCAGCAGUGGGGAAUAUUGGACGAUGGGCGAAAGCCUGAUCCAGCAAUGCCGCGUGAGUGAUGAAGGCCUUAGGGUUGUAAAGCUCUUUUACCCGGGAUGAUAAUGACAGUACCGGGAGAAUAAGCUCCGGCUAACUCCGUG
rnacentral:rRNA from 1 species